rnacentral:rRNA from 1 species
AGUGAACGCUGGCGGUAGGCCUAACACAUGCAAGUCGAACGGCAGCACAGUAAGAGCUUGCUCUUACGGGUGGCGAGUGGCGGACGGGUGAGGAAUACAUCGGAAUCUACUUUUUCGUGGGGGAUAACGUAGGGAAACUUACGCUAAUACCGCAUACGACCUACGGGUGAAAGCAGGGGAUCUUCGGACCUUGCGCGAUUGAAUGAGCCGAUGUCGGAUUAGCUAGUUGGCGGGGUAAAGGCCCACCAAGGCGACGAUCCGUAGCUGGUCUGAGAGGAUGAUCAGCCACACUGGAACUGAGACACGGUCCAGACUCCUACGGGAGGCAGCAGUGGGGAAUAUUGGACAAUGGGCGCAAGCCUGAUCCAGCCAUACCGCGUGGGUGAAGAAGGCCUUCGGGUUGUAAAGCCCUUUUGUUGGGAAAGAAGAGCAGCAGGUUAAUACCCCGCUGUCCUGACGGUACCCAAAGAAUAAGCACCGGCUAACUUCGU